GAUGAACGCUGGCGGCGUGCCUAAUACAUGCAAGUCGAGCGAACGGACGAGAAGCUUGCUUCUCUGAUGUUAGCGGCGGACGGGUGAGUAACACGUGGAUAACCUACCUAUAAGACUGGGAUAACUUCGGGAAACCGUAGCUAAUACCGGAUAAUAUUUUGAACCGCAUGGUUCAAAAGUGAAAGACGGUCUUGCUGUCACUUAUAGAUGGAUCCGCGCUGCAUUAGCUAGUUGGUAAGGUAACGGCUUACCAAGGCAACGAUGCAUAGCUGACCUGAGAGGGUGAUCGGCCACACUGGAACUGAGACACGGUCCAGACUCCUACGGGAGGCAGCAGUAGGGAAUCUUCCGCAAUGGGCGAAAGCCUGACGGAGCAACGCCGCGUGAGUGAUGAAGGUCUUCGGAUCGUAAAACUCUGUUAUUAGGGAAGAGCAUAUGUGUAAGUAACUGUGCACAUCUUGACGGUACCUAAUCAGAAAGCCACGGCUAACUACGUG
rnacentral:rRNA from 1 species